rnacentral:rRNA from 1 species
AACUAACAAGGAUUCCCCUAGUAACUGCGAGUGAAGCGGGAAAAGCUCAAAUUUUGAAUCUGGCAGUCAUGUUAGGCUGUCCGAAUUGUAAUCUAGAGAAGCGUCUUCCGCGCUGGACCGUGUACAAGUCUCCUGGAAGGGAGCGUCAUAGAGGGUGAGAAUCCCGUCUUUGACACGGACUACCAGUGCUUAUGUGUUGCGCUCUCAACGAGUCGAGUUGUUUGGGAAUGCAGCUCAAAAUGGGUGGUAAAUUCCAUCUAAAGCUAAAUAUAGGCGAGAGACCGAUAGCGAACAAGUACCGUGAGGGAAAGACGAAAAGAACUUUGAAAAGAGAGUUAAACAGUACGUGAAAUUGCUGAAAGGGAAACACUUGAUGUCAGUCGCGUUGAUUAGGGGUCAGCCUUGGUUAUACUCGGCGUAAUUCCUAGUUGAUGGGUCAGCGUCAGUUUUGGUUACUGUAGACAGGCAUUGGGGAAAGUGGCACUCUUUAGGGAGUGUGUUAUAGACCCUGGUCGUAUGCAGUGGUUGGGACUGAGGAGCUCUGCACGGACUAGAUUUUGUGCAAGGGAUGCUGGCAUAAUGGCCUUAAGUGACCCGUCUUGAAACACGGACCAAGGAGUCUAACAUGCCUGCGAGUGUUUGGGUUUGUAAACUCGAGCGCGUAAUGAAAGUGAAAGUUGAGACCUCUGUCAUGGAGGGCACCGACGCCCAGACCUGAGUCUUUGACAAAGGAUCUGCGGUAGAGCAUGUAUGUUGGGACCCGAAAGAUGGUGAACUAUGCCUGAAUAGGGUGAAGCCAGAGGAAACUCUGGUG